UACGUAGGGUGCAAGCGUUGUCCGGAAUUAUUGGGCGUAAAGAGCUCGUAGGCGGUUUGUCACGUCGGAUGUGAAACCCUGAGGCUCAACCUCAGGCCUGCAUUCGAUACGGGCAGACUAGAAUUCGGCAGGGGAGACUGGAAUUUCUGGUGUAGCGGUGAAAUGCGCAGAUAUCAGGAGGAACACCGUGGCGAAGGCGGGUCUCUGGGCCGCAACUGACGCUGAGGAGCGAAAGCAUGGGGAGCGAACAGG
rnacentral:rRNA from 1 species